CGAUAGGCAAAUCCGUCGGAAUAAUGCUGGGGUACGAUGCGGAGCGAAAUUUAGUAGCGAAGUAGCUGAUUUCACACUGUCGAGAAAAGUCUCUAUCGAGGUUAAAGGUGCCUGUACCGCAAACCGACACAGGUGGGUGAGGAGAGUAUCCUAAGGCCAGCGAGAGAACUGUUGUUAAGGAACUCGGCAAAAUGACCCCGUAACUUCGGGAGAAGGGGUGCCUUCGAGAGAAGGCCGCAGAGAAUAGGCCCAAGCGACUGUUUACCAAAAACAUAGGUUUCUGCUAAGUCGCAAGACGAUGUAUAGGAGCUGACGCCUGCCCGGUGCUGGAAGGUUAAGGGGAUCUGUUAGAGCAAUCGAAGCAGUGAACUUAAGCCCCAGUAAACGGCGGCCGUAACCAUAACGGUCCUAAGGUAGCGAAAUUCCUUGUCGGGUAAGUUCCGACCCGCACGAAAGGCGUAACGAUUUGGGCACUGUCUCAACAACAGACUCGGUGAAAUUGUAAUACCGGUGAAGAUGCCGGUUACCUGCGACAGGACGGAAAGACCCCAUGGAGCUUUACUGUAGCUUGACAUUGAGUCUCGGUGCUACAUGUACAGGAUAGGUGGGAGACUAUGAAGCAUGGACGUCAGUCUGUGUGGAGUCAUCCUUGGGAUACCACCCUUGUAGUACUGGGAUUCUAACCAGAGGCCAUGAAUCUGGUCUUGGGACACUGUCAGGUGGACAGUUUGACUGGGGCGGUCGCCUCCCAAAAAGUAACGGAGGCGCUCAAAGGUUCUCUCAGUACGGUCGGAAAUCGUACGAAGAGUGUAAAGGCAAAAGAGAGCUUGAUUGCAAGACAUACAGGUCGAGCAAGGACGAAAGUCGGACUUAGUGAUCCGGUGGUUCCGCAUGGAAGGGCCAUCGCUCAACGGAUAAAAGCUACCCUGGGGAUAACAGGCUGAUCUCCCCCAAGAGUCCACAUCGACGGGGAGGUUUGGCACCUCGAUGUCGGCUCAUCACAUCCUGGGGCUGUAGUAGGUCCCAAGGGUUGGGCUGUUCGCCCAUUAAAGUGGUACGCGAGCUGGGUUCAGAACGUCGUGAGACAGUUCGGUCCCUAUCCGUCGCAGGCGUAGGAAAUUUGAGGAGACCUGUCCUUAGUACGAGAGGACCGGGAUGGACGUACCGCUGGUGUACCAGUUGUUCUGCCAAGGGCAUGGCUGGGUAGCUAAGUACGGAAAGGAUAAGCGCUGAAAGCAUCUAAGCGCGAAGCCCACUUCAAGAUAAGAUUUCCCACCGCAAGGUUAAGAUCCCAGGAAGACUACCUGGUUGAUAGGUCAGAGGUGUAAGUGCAGUAAUGUAUUUAGCUUACUGAUACUAAUAGAUCGAGGACUUGAUC
rnacentral:rRNA from 1 species